rnacentral:misc_RNA from 1 species
GAUGAAGAACGCAGCGAAAUGCGAUACGUAAUGUGAAUUGCAGAAUUCAGUGAAUCAUCGAGUCUUUGAACGCACAUUGCGCCCCCUGGUAUUCCGGGGGGCAUGCCUGUCCGAGCGUCAUUGGUGCCCUCAAGCACGGCUUGUGUGUUGGGCCUCCGUCCUCCUCCCGGGGGACGGGCCCGAAAGGCAGCGGCGGCACCGCGUCCGGUCCUCGAGCGUAUGGGGCUUCGUCACCCGCUCUUGUAGGCCCGGCCGGCGCUUGCCGACACAUCAAUCUUUUUUCCAGGUUGACCUCGGAUCAGGUAGGGAUACCCGCUGAACUUAAGCAUAUCAAUAAGCGGAGGA